CUUCAGAGAGACAACAGUUGAUUUUCUGGUCAUACCUUGAACCUUGUGUAUCGUGCAUGCAAAGGCAAGUUUCACAGGAAACUGUCUGCGUACCACUCCUUUCUGUUGCAGAGCCUCCUCAGAUCUCUCGAUGUACACAAGAUUGUCUCCUCGAGUACGAUAGCUCCUGCCAGCUGUUUCAUCAUCCAUCCUGAGACCAAGCAUAGUGACAAGAGCAGAACUGUUGUUUUCAGAGCUUAUGAGACGGCCUACUGUAGCAAAUGAUCCGUUCACCAAUCCUUGAGACACAUCUAUGUUUCUGGUAAGCAUGACUCUAGCACCUACUGCAACAUCUAGGGUGUCAGGUAGAUCAUUUCUGCUUCCAUGACAUGGUGCACCUUGUCUUUUCAUGUGUCCAGUGUGUGGGUCUUUUUUCAAGUCAUCUGCAUCAAUGGUGGUGAUAUCAGAAUGGAGCAGAGAUAUUGUAGCAGAGUUGUGUGCUGCGACUUGUUUGUUUGUAGCAAAAAUGUGCAGGACAUCAGAGGGACACAGUUGUGGUUCAGUGACACGCUGUGACAGCAGAGCUCUGUCAGCUUCAGAAAGCUCAUCUGACCUUGUUUUCACACGGAGUCUGUUCAGCAUCUCGGCAAAAGUUUUGUCAUCCUUCUGUCGCAUGAUCUCAUCUAAAGUGAUCACCUGGAAGUUGUCUCUCCAGAGGUCAAGCUCACUUGGAUCAUAGACACAGAGUGGUUUGGACUGUCGCACAGGUGGUAGCUGGUAAAAGUCUCCCACAGCAAUGACUGACAUUCCUCCAAAGGGUCUGUGGCUACCUUUAAUCUGUUUCAGUCUCAUAUCCACAUAGGCAAACAGAGGCUUCGACACCAUGGAGAUUUCAUCAAUGAUGAUGAUUUCAGCGUUUAAAAGCUCACACCUGAUUUCAUCAAGUUGGUUCCCAAGACCUUGAAAAGGAGGUUUCAAACUUCUGGGCAGCUUGAGGAGAGAGUGCAGUGUUGUUCCAGAGAUGUUAAAGGCUGCAGUUCCAGUGAAAGCAGUCAACAGCACAGUCGGGUUUGAGAUGUCAGCUUCCUCAGCACGUCUAGGUAGUGUUCUCAGAAUCUUUGAUGCUUCUGAAUGAAUGCAUUUAAUGAGAUGUGACUUUCCAGUGCCAGCACCACCAUUGAUGUAGUAGAAAAACUGCUCUGGUUGUGGUCCACAGACUCGUUUUAUGCACCAGUCUCUCACUGCAUAGAACACACAUGCCUGUUUCUGGUUCAGACUCUGAUACAUUUGUCGUAACCGUGUGGGAUCGAUUGUAGGGGGCUCUCUCAUGACUCUGGCCUCUGUAGCAGCAUUUGCUUGUCUGCUGUAAUCUGGUACAUCCUCUUGGACAUUUUCACACUGUCUGGCGUCCAGUUCAUCGAUACACUCCAACCUCACCAGUUCAGAUUCAGGUGCCAAAUUACACCAUUCAUCGACCACACCUCUGUUCUGUUCAAAGUCCUCGAGAGCAGAGUCAAUUUCCUCACUGUUUUUUUCAUAUCUCUCUCUGUUUCUUUUCACGAUGAGUUUCACACUCAGGGGUCGGUCAGAAUACGGCAGCUGAACCACACCUCUCUCAUAGAAUGACUCAUACGUGGGAAAAUAUGGUCUUUUCAGCUCAUCGUCUGAUCUGUAUGGAAGAUACAGUCUAAGCAAUGUGCCGUAAAACUGCUCAGGGUAUUUCUCUUUGGAUAUGCGGCGAUACCUGAUGACAGCAGCGUUGUCACUUUCUCGUCUCUGUAUGAAGCCUAGUUCAUUCAGCAAAGGUACCACUUUCUUGCCCUUGGUCUGUUGUCCAUACACCAGUCUGCAGGUAGACGCAAAAUCAGCCAUGCACAUCUCUUCAAACUCUGGUGAUUCAGGUCUGGAUUUGUACUUGUCUGUUAAGGAUGUCAUCCACACAUUCAAGCUGUCUGGUGUAGUGUUGUCAAGGCUUGACACAGGCAGACUCAUUUUCACUGGGUUGUCAUCAGUUGGGACAAAAACCACACUGCGUGAACUCUUUUUCAUGUUCAGUGAAGUCACUCGGGCAACAGCUUCUUGUGCUGAUACUUCUCGCUUUUUGGAAUACGCCUGCAUGACCGCUUUCAUUUCAUCACAUUCAUUGACACAUUCUCUGUCGGAGUUCUGAAUGAGUGUUUGCAGGUACUGGCUCACAGAGUUCUCACUUUUACACAUGUACGUACAUAUGUAAUGGAUCAGACUGUAGUAGCUGAGAAUGAACUGCACGUCAAUGUUUGCAUCCCAAGCUUUGAGCAGGUGAGGGUUGUAGGUGUUUACCCAGCAGUCUUUUGGCUCACGCUUCAGAAUGAUGUUGCUGGACUGACUCAUCACAUUCAUGUGUUUCUCAUACUCAUCAGCGGUUAAGUCACAGACAGACAGGAGCUGUUGAAAACUCAUGGAUUCAGUUUGUGUCUCAUUCAGCAGCUGAUUCAGUGGUGCAAGUUUCUCUUUGGCUCUCUUAAGUCUCUCUGACUCCUCAUCAUCACCCACAGGUCUUGUUAUCAUUGUCUGUCUGGAGGGUGGUUUUGGGAAUCCAAAUCGGCAUCCAGAACUUGCACUUUUGAAACAUGUCUUUGAGUGGUUCUUACUGUGUAUUUGCACUUCUUUGACCUUUUUGUACAGUUCAGGCUGUUUGUUUGGGUCAGGGAGCUGAGCAGAGAUGUGUUUGGACACAAAGUCACACACAGUUUUGUCAGAGUCUCUCUCAAACACAGGUGCACCUUCUACCCACAAAAGACCAUGUAUAUGAGGACUUCCUCUGUGCUGAAACUCGAGACGCCAAAAGAAGUCAAAAACUUUGCCCAGGGGUUGUGCAGGAGACAUGAUCAGAUCUCUGUACAGUGCUUCAACACGCUUAUCAAACAUGCGCAUCGUUGUCACAGGAUUGCUUCUCAGAAUGUCACACUUUGUGGACCAGUCGAGCUCUUCAAAAUUCACCUCCUCACCUUGUUGUAAUUUUAUUGCAAUAAUCACCUCAGGCCAACGCAUUUCUGCUGCAGAAAAUGUGACAAAGAAAGUAGGACUGCCCAACUGUCUGAUCAUAGCAAACAGAUCUUUUGUAGUUUUGUCCCAGUAGGCUGGUGUUCCUCUGAGCGGCUGCAUAAAUCUGAUAGCAUCUCUGUUUCUCACCAGUCUCUCCACUUCGUAUUUGUCUCUCAACAUUCUGGAUGUUAUUUUACGUCCGUCUCUGGUCAAAGGUUUGCCUUUGCGUAACUGUAUUGACAUGCUGGAGGUAGCCAAGUGUAUUUCAGUCACAAACUGUGCAAAGAACAGGUAGUUGGUAUCUUUGGCAAAGCGAUCAUCAACACCAAAGAGCCUUGCUUUAAAAUAACUACUGGGUGAUAGUUUCAUUGGUCUGUUUUCAUCCAGUGUAUUCUCACCAGUGGGAAACUGAACAGGAAACGCCAUGGCCUCUAGUUUGGGUGUUUUGAAAAAACUGACUGGAUUGUUUCUCUCUGCUGGAGCUACUGAGUAUGUAGACUCACUGAAACACAAUAUCUCCUCAGAAACAUCCCGUGGCUGAAGGCACGACUCCAAAACAACACCACCAUUAGAUAUGUCUGCAUCCUGUUGUUGUGUCUGAUCAUCAUUGUCCUGGGUCUGACUUUUAUCACACAGCUCUGUGUGCUCAUCCUCAUUUUCAACAUUAGUUUCAGCCUCAUACAUGGCAGCAGCCUCAAUUCUAUCAAUUUCCAUCAAAUCCUCAUCAUCAUAGUCGUCAUCAUUCAUUGUAAUAUCAUUACCAUCAUCCUCAUCCUCAUCCUCAUCACCAUCAUCAGGAAGUGUGGGGUCACAUAACUCCUCCUCAUCUCUAAUAGUGAUGUCUUCAUACUGGGGGUGUGUCUCUUUCAGUUUAUGCAGAGCCUGCACUAGCUUGGACCAGGUAACAGUCUGAAACAGAUGGUGACCUCUGUAACUCAAACGUCUCUUCAGUUUUACUCUCAUCACCUGAGACUCAUUUCUCAAUCUGGGUAGAGCCUGAAUUGUUUCCUGGACUUCAGAGGGAACACAUACAACAUUACCAUGUAUAGCUCUCUGUCUGCCUUUGGGAAGAGGAAUGAUUUUGGCAAAUGUUAUGCACUUUGCUAUUAGAUGUCUCUCCAGUAUGUUGAGGUCACACAGCUCAGGUGGUAUGUCAGCAAGCUCCAAGUUGUUUGCUAUGGCAAGUUUGGGCAUGGAUCCAUUUUUCAGAUGGUCAUGGCAGGUGUGACAAAUCCACUCAGUCUUUCUCUCAUCAGGGACAGUGCACUGAUUUCUGUAGUCAUCGUUACAAUCAUGGACGUACUGACCUUUGAGACAAGCUGAAACCAUGAUUGGAUUUUUCACAUAGUUGGACCUCUUGCACUUUUGCACCUGGUUUGGAAAUGAGGCUUUGUGGCAAACUGUGCAAACAUGGGUGGGACCAGCUUUAAUGUGUGAUCGGAAAUCAUUUAUGGCACUUUCAAUAAGUGGGUUUUCACUCUCUCUGUCAGUCUCACAUGUUUGUCUACUUAUCUGUUUGUAUUUCUUUGAUAUUUUCAAUGCACACCUCAUUUUAUGCAUAGUCCUGUAUGCAAGAUUUGUCUUAUACCUGUCUCGCAUUAUUUGUCUCAUCAGUUGUCUGUGUCGGUGAUGGAAUGUUUCAUCAUUUGAAUAUCGAUGAUUGAAGUAGGAUCUCUGUCUUUGGCGGAAAUCAACAUCCUCUGAGUAUUUUUUCCUGAAAUAUUCUUUUCGUCUGCCUUUAAAAUCAACAUUUUCUCUGUAUUUUUUCCUGAAAUAUAACUUUUGUCUUCCUUUAAAAUCAACAUUUUCUCUGUAUUUUCUUGUGAUAUAUUCUUUUUGUCUGCCUUUAAAAUCAACAUUUUCUCUGUAUUUCCUUGUGAUAUAUUCUUUUUGUCUGCCUUUAAAUUCAACAUUUUCUUUGUAUUUUUUGGUGAUAUAUUCUUUUUGUUUCAGUCUGAAGUCUGUGCUUUCUCUGUAUUUAGUUGUGAUCUUUUGUCUUUUCUUUGUUUGUAUUUCAGGAUUGACAGAAUAUUUCUCACUUGAAUAAGACUUUUUCUUUGCUUUGUAUGUUUCAUUCUUAGCAUACUUUUCUCUUUCUCUCCUUUUUUGAUUCUCUUUCUUUUCAGAUGUCUUUCCAGAUCUCAUUAGUCUCCUCUUAAAUUUCAUUUUUUGCUGUUUGCUUAAUUUUGACAGUUUAGUGGAGAUGUCAUGGAUAACUUUGUCACUAGCAACGGGGAUCGUUAUCAAUGGUUGUGUCAAAUUUGAUUUUGUCUGUUGAGUUUCCUCUAAUGUGACAGAAGUAUUGUUGAUCUGACCUGGUUGAUGAGCUUGAGUUUCCAUCAAAGUUGAGGCUUUCUGUGAUGUGUCAUCACUUACAGUAGUGUUAAUCUCUGGAGUGAGAAAUUCAGGACCAGUUAAUGUGACAGAACACUGGCUGAAGUCGAUCAGUGGUUCUGGUUCAAUUUCCAUGUCAUGUUCAGAGUUUUCAUGGACAUCAGUGUUCAUCUGUGGAGCACUUGUGUAAUCAUCUAUCACGGUGGUUUUGACAGAGGGACUUGUGGACGGACUUUCUGUGGCUGGGAUAGCAUCACUUGGGUUCACAUCACAAAACACAACUGGCUUGAGCUCAUAGCGACAGGACCCUGCUGUGCCCAAUAUAUGGUGAUACCUGAUGAGCCUGUGAAUCAUGUCACUGAGUCGUCUGAAUGUUACCAUGACAGCGGUUCCAGGAGUAGGUGUGGCCUUAAGCAGAGGCAAACCGUUAGCUGUCCGAGCAUGUGGGUCAAAGAAACCGUACCUGCCAUCUCUGGUUCUGAAAACUGCAAUGCACAACGAAGUCAUUAGCAGCAAAGCAUACUGCACAUCUGUUAAUAAGCAGCUCAGUCCUGAAACGAGGUCCAGAAAGGUAUCAACAGCUCCGGGAUCCGGAUCUCCAAACGUACCGUAUCUAGACAGCUGUAACUUGUCAAAUAUCUGCGUGUGUCUGCGUGCAGGAACCAGGUCAGGGAGCUCAUCGGUUGUCAGAUGGCUGUGAUCACGAACAGUUUUUCUGACUUCUCUGUACAUCACAUCACCUUUAUCCAAAACACGGUCCAGGUCUGCUCUGGUGAUGUGUUCAUUCUCAUACAGGAAUGCUAGAAAUGUCAGUGAGUUACAGGUGCACUGCUGGUUUCUGGAUUGGCCGUAUUUCAGAGACGCUUGGCUGCGUGACGCACAGACGCUUUGUUCACCUGACUGACUAACAGCGUUAACAUUUCUUACCCGAGAAGAGCCUGAUACAGACUGAUAAUUACUGUGGUUUCCCUUCUUAACAGUGUCUGCAUGUGAUACCUGGGUUGAGCAUGGCUUUUCAGUUUGGGCUAUGUAGUUCACCUGAUGAGAGUUAGAAGGACCUGCUGCAGGUGACUCACUUACACGUCUCCUCUUAAGCACGUCUGCAUAAGAUACCUGUGGUUGACAUGACGCACUUUGACCUCCCUGUUUCACAGCAUCAGAUACUUCAGACCUCUUUACCUCUCCACUGCUCUGAGGAAUACCAUCUGCUUGUCCAGUACUCACAUGGUCAAUGUCAUGAAACCUCUGCCAGCGCUGGCUUGCAACCUGUGACCUCUUACUCUUUCUCGGCAUUGUAGCUGUCCUUACACAACAAUGUGUUUAUUCAACAAUUUAAAGUUAAUGACAAGCACCAGUACAGACAAAACGCUUUAUUUCUUAAAGAGAGGAGGUUAUUUAACAGCUCUUAUAGUCUCCAAAAUAUCUAAUUUAUAACUGUGUGUAUACCACAAUAGUUUAUCAAAUGUUUUCUAAGGAAAUCCUAGGCAAGGCUAUAUAAAUGUUUUCAGAAAAAAACACAAAUCAGCAACUAUUUGUAAAUCUUUGAACUUUGUGCUUGAAAUAAUAUGCAAGUCAAAUAUUCUAUAUGAAACGUGUUUAUUUUUUCUUUCAAAAUCAGGGACGCAGAUAUGGUGGUGCUGAUGACACUUCUUCUGGUGAAACUCUGGAUCCACAGACAGGAAAGGAAAACCUAGAACAACAAUGAGACUUUUGCAAAAUUAGGGCUUUUUCCAAUACAGUGGUUGUAUUAAAUGUACAGCUUUUCAGAAGUUCGGUUUCUCAAAAAAAGGGUUGAUUGUUUACAAAGGUUUCUCAAAAAAGGUGGCUUGUUAAAAUAGGUCUCAAAAAGAUUUAUUGCAAAGGGGUCUCAAAUGAUUUGUUGCAAAGGGGUCUCAAAUGAUUUGUUGCAAAAGGGUCUCAAAUGAUUUGUUGCAAAAGGUCUCAAAGAUUUAUUGCAAAGGGUCUCAAAGAUUUGUUUCAAUGGUAUCAAAGAUUUGUUCAAGGAUUGUAUUAGUAGCCAGAGUGGGAUAGAAGGGGGAUAGAAAGGCAGAGUGGCUUUUCAAUCAGAAAGAGUGGUAGAGGAGACAGGAAAGUCAGAGGGACCAAAAUGAUAGGGGAGAGUGGGGAGACUGGACAGGAUACCUGUAAGACACAAUGGAAAAAAACAUUAAUCUUUUUUUAUUAAAGACAAAAUUAAAUGAUCCAACAUCCACCCAAAGCUAGUGAGAUUAUAAUGUACUUUUACUCAAUCCACCAAGUGGCUGUCCUCAACUAUACAUCUAUCAAAAGUCAAGUUGAGUCAAAAGCUGGAAGUGACCAUUGUCUUGUUCGAUAACCCUUCAAUCAAAUUAAUGACUAAAAAUACAGUGUUCAUAAGAGAUAACUGAAAAUGUAUUUAAGAUACAAAGAACUUUAUUUAUCCCCUAAGGGAAAUUCAAUUGUCUGUAGUCUCACUUGUCAUGUCUCAAAAAGUCAUCUACUAUUUAAAUUGUAGAGUCUGAUGGCUGUGGGUACAAAAGAUCUUAUGAGUCUUUCUGUCCUGCAGCAGAGAGAGGAGCCGUCCACCACCAUAGGCCUUUCGGUCCACCAAGGUGUUGUGAAGUGGGUGAGCCAAAUUCUUUUGAAUAGCCUCCACCUUCCUAACAGUACAUCUCUCCACCACAUCCUCCAGCGAGUCCAACUUGAAUCCAACCACAGAACCAUAAAUUUAAAUUUAGGACCUCAAAGUAUUUUACAAAAGUUUCUAUUAUCCCUGCGCAUUUUAGACUCUUUAUUUUAAGUUCCCUCUAUAAUGUUUAUAACCAUGUCCUGGUAAGCAGUAACAACAAUGGAUUACUCUGCUGAUAAAAUAUGAUGUGUUUUGGAAAAUGUUAUUUCCUUUACCGUGUUUUAAGUAUUCCUACAAUGUAAUAAGUUAUGAGGCCAAGCAGCUCCGUAAGCUGUAAACAGAAGCAUGCAAAGUACCUUAGAAGGAUAUACACAUUUCUAAACAUAGGAUUAAAUGAAUAAUAAAAUAAAUCAAUGGCGGCAUAGAUAGUGAUUGUCUAUUCCAUAUUAAGGAACAUUAAAUUAGAUUUUUUUUCUAAUAUAAAGAGCUGCACAAAGGAGGUAAUCACAUUCAAUUAGUAAUUAUUUGGAUUUUCAUGAUGAACUCCACAAUUUAAUAGUAACAAAUUGCUUUCCAAUGAUUGGAAAUAAAAUGCAAAUAAGUGUAUUGUAUAUCACAUUUAACCUGUUCAUUUCCAACUGUGAAUAUUACAUUAUCAAAGGGGAAAAAAAAAAAGUUUGGACAUGAUGAGGGGUGUAUUGAAUAAAGGCACCCUGCGUUAUUCAUGAAAAUGUCAUUCCUGUGUGAACUUACGUCGAGUCGCCACAAAACGGUCUGCACUUGGAGACAGGAUAGAGUUGGCAAGAAGGAAAAUGGAAAAAAAGAGACAAGAGAUUUUUAGUUUAGUUGUACAAAACCAGCACAUCUCACUGCAUUGUCGUUUCAAUUGUAAUCAGCCUGCAAAAUUAUUUCUAUUUGGUUCUGCUUUAGUUUAAAUAAAGUGUUUUUUUAAAUGGUUUGUGUUACAAUGAGAAUGUGCUGCAGUUUGUCAAAUAAGGACAUAGUGUCAGGUUUUUACAUGAUGUGUUGUAAAAAGUGUCAGUGUUACUUUAUUUGUGAACUUACAGCUGAAUCGCCAACAGUGAGUAGGGCCCGCAGCAGAGAUAGCGUUGAGGAGUUCAGAGAAGGGAAAAGACAGAGGGACAAAAAAAUAAAAUUUAGUUGCUCUCUUAGCUUGUAAAAAUGUUUGUUAAAAUGGAGAGAAAUGCACAAACACAAUGAAGGACCGCUUUACUUUUUAAUUUCUUAUGUAAUUGAGGUGAAAUACGCAACACUGAAAUGUCAUUAUAAACUGCAGAGAAAAAUGUAACAUUUAAUUGAUUGCUUAAUAAGUAUAUACAAGUGUGAACUUACACUUCAGAGUUGGUAGGGAAUUUCACACAGGUCAGAGGACAAGAUGAUGCAGGAGGAGGGGGAGAGGGAAGAAAAGAGUUUUUUAUUACACUCAAAAGAGACGCCCUCACAGCUCACUUCAUUCAAAGUAAUGAUUAUUAUCAAAGUAAUAGUAAUUAUCUGAAUGAUUUUCCCACUUAAUUAUUGUCAAAAUUUAGAUUCAGACUUUCCCAUCAAGUUAAAAUGUUUAAAAUAAAUGAAUUUAGUAGUAUAGUAAUAUUGUUAGCUCACUGUUGUCUACUAGGAAAAAACUGUAUCCCAUCUAUGAUUUUCAUAUAGCAUAUACAACAGUGUUACAGAUAAAUCAACAUUUCAUAUCAAUUUAAACUCAGUAUUUGAAAAAUGCAUCAUAUGUUGUACAUUAUCUUGAAUGACAUGUUGUUAAACAGGAUUAAGCUAAUCAUUAAUCCGGUUAUUUUUAUUUUGUUUGUUGUCAGUCUUGGUCAAAACACUUAUACUUACCAACAAAUGCACUGGAGCGGAUGUAUCUUCUAUUUGAGACAAGAAACAAUACAUUAGUGUUUUCUGACAGAUAGCACAUUAAAAACAAUAGGCCUAUAAAGAAAACUAACAUUAUUACAGUAGUUCGGCUAAUUGAAAACUAAACAGCUCCAACAGAUCACCUGGCUGUUAGCUGCAGCUGAAAAUGUCACACAUAAUACAUACUGUAUUAAAGUAUAUAUACCUCAGAUAAAGUAUCUUUGCUGUGGUGUUAGCACAUCACCAAUAUCCAAAUUAACAGCUUGUUAUCAAAGGUAAAUUAGGUACAGUAGACGGUGAAGUUCAGUAGCAGCCAACAAGACAGAGACAGACCAGGAGCAGGUCCACCAACUUCAAGGCAGCUAACUCUUCAUCCAUCAACUCAAUAUUAAGAUAAGAACUUUAUUGAUCCCUAAAGGGAAAUUCAACUGGAAUAUAUUUAUUAAUUAGAACUUCAUAUUGUUAAACAUUAAAUACUGAAUUCAUUUUAUGUUUUGCAAUGUAAAUAUCUCUAUCAUCUCCAUCAUGAAUAAAACCCUCAAUAAUAGAGGACCAUCUAGGUCCAUUCUGACACAUAAAAAAAAAAACCACUCAUAUUUGUGCUGUACCUGGAUGCUUGCUAAAUGCAGCCUAUAUUUUAAUACAUCCACAAUGGCUGAUAAAAAGUGACCAGGAGCUGAACAGCUGACGUCUCCAGACCAGUUCCCCAGCAAUGGCUAAGUCACAGUAAUGAACUGAACCUGUAGCAAUGCCGCUAGCGUCAUUAGUUAGCUAGUUAGUCAGUUAAUACUUGACAAUAUGACUAUUCUUGUCAGUCCCAUUGUCAGUAAACUCCACAGCCUGGACAUCAUUUGGCCCACUUUAUAGUACCGCAGCGGCUUACAUAUUCACUUUCUUUUGUGCUCAGCUGGCUAAUGAUUCAGCCUCACAGCUGAGGGUAUGUUGACUUUAGCGUUAGCUCGACGCUAGCGGCGCUAACGGCGCUAGCUCGACGCUAGCGGCGCUAGCGGCGCUAGCUCGACGCUAGCGGCGCUAACUCGACGCUAACAGCGUUAGCGUACGCUUUUUCAACUCAAUAUAUCGACCACUUCAAUCAUGAAUGAACUCUUCAUUGAUUAUAACUAAAACCAGUGCCAUAUGAAACGUUAAAUCGCCGUUUGAAGUGUUCAGAAGUUAGAGCGCCUGUGCUCUGACUUACCUUCGUCGAGGUCGGAGAAGGAUAGCGCGAGCCACCAGUGAGUCACGGUAGAAAUGUUUGAGGCGUUCAGGGACACUCGGACAUGUCAUACUUCACACGACCGAAAGGCAGUGGUUCAAUCAAUUCAUUUUAAUUGUUUUCUAGUACUAAUAGUAGCAAGACUAGUUGAAGUAGAAGUUGUAGAAGUGGAAGUGGGAUUUUGUUUGAAGAAUUGAAAUAUGCAUGAAUAGUAAAAACGAUUUAAAAUGGGGAAAAUAUAACUAAUAAAAAAUCCUAAAGUAUUAGAAAGGUUUGAAGAGUCAGAGAGGUUUGAAUAAGAGUGAGUUUAAAUUUAUUAGAAGAAUUGAAAAAUGCACAAAUAAUGAGUUAUUUUAAAUUAAGGACAAUUUAAAUGAAUAGAAAUCCUCUGUAGACUCCAUAAUGUCCUCAAUGAGCAGAAUUUCUGAAGCCCAAAAUGUGUCUGUAUCUCGAAGUUUGUGAGAGAAGAUAGGUGGUGAAGCAGCCACAUGGUCAAAGUGUGUUCAGGUCUCAUAGACAGAGAGAGACUCACGCAUGGACAUAUUUACUGUGUGUACUUGAAGGUCUCAUAGAGAGAAGGAGGCUGACGCACACACAUUGGCUGAGUGUGUGUGUAGCUCGUUAAUGAUUGCAUCCUAAACAGCUGUGAGAUCAAAGGCAAAUCACUGACCUAUUGUUUGAAUGGAGAAGCUGCUGAACUGCAGUGAAUUUAGGGCCCUGAACUUCUUCACAUAGCACGAUUUCCUUAAAUCCCAGAAUGAAAAUAAGAACAUCGUACGAAUCCUCCGCCCUUCAUGAACACAAUGAUGUGUUUUUCAUGUCUGUACUCCAAAAAAUAUGGCC